GCCAGGCGUGGUGGCUCACACCUGUAAUCCCAGCUACUGGGGAGGCUGAGGCAGGAGGACAGCUUGAGACCAGGAGUUCGAGGCUGCGGUGAGCUAUGAUCGUGCCACUGCACUCCAGCCUGGGCGACAGAGCGAGACCCUGGCUCUAAAAAAGGACAGGGUCUCGCUCUGUCGCCCAGGCUUUUUUAGAGCCAGGGUCUCGCUCUGUCGCCCAGGCUGGAGUGUAGUGGCACCAUCUCAGCUCACUGCAACCUCCGCCUCCCAGGUUCAAGCGAUUCUCCUACCUCA
rnacentral:sRNA from 1 species